rnacentral:rRNA from 1 species
UGGUGAAUUUUGCACAAUGGGGGAAACCCUGAUGCAGCGACGCCGCGUGAUUUAGAAGGCCUUCGGGUUGUAAAAAUCUUUUCUAUGGGAAGAAAAUGACAGUACCAUAGGAAUAAGGACCGGCUAAUUACGUGCCAGCAGCCGCGGUAAUACGUAAGGUCCGAGCGUUGUCCGGAAUCAUUGGGCGUAAAGGGUACGUAGGCGGGUAAGCAAGUUAGAAGUGAAAUCCUAUAGCUCAACUAUAGUAAGCUUUUAAAACUGCUCAUCUUGAGGUAUGGAAGGGAAAGUGGAAUUCCUAGUGUAGCGGUGAAAUGCGCAGAUAUUAGGAGGAAUGCCGGUGGCGAAGGCGACUUUCUGGCCAUAACCUGACGCUGAGGUACGAAAGCGUGGGUAGCAAACAGG